GCAAUGAGCUCUGGGCUUAGAAUCAGUGAGUCCUGCCUGCAAGGCCUGGAUCUGCUCCUUCCUAUCUGUGCUUCUUCGCCUCUCUGAGCCUCACUUUCCUCAUCUAGUCCGUGGAGAAAGUCAAUGGUUUCAGAUGAAGCUACAACAUGUCGGCAGUCCAGACCUCAAGUCACAGGGUACAAGAAAGGUGGUCUGAAGAGCUGUUGUCAUCGGGGAUCUUCAUGAGAGGAAGAUGUGAACCUCGAUUUGUUAAGUCCCCAGAAGAACAGGUUUACCUGUCACUGUAGCAUAUGUCUCAUCCAGUGACUACCUAGAGGCUUCAUGCGCCUUUGUCACAGAUUAGUUUGUUGGUCUUGAUUACUUGAAAACACACACACACACACACACACACACACACAACUGACAUUCCAACAAGACAACUUUUCCUAUUAUACAAGAUGGCCCAGUAAACUUAUUGAACAUUA